rnacentral:rRNA from 1 species
UGAGGAAUAUUGGUCAAUGGGCGCAAGCCUGAACCAGCCAAGUCGCGUGAGGGAUGACGGUCCUAUGGAUUGUAAACCUCUUUUGUCGGGGAGCAAGGCCCGCCACGUGUGGCGGGAAGGAGAGUACCCGAAGAAAAAGCAUCGGCUAACUCCGUGCCAGCAGCCGCGGUAAUACGGAGGAUGCGAGCGUUAUCCGGAUUUAUUGGGUUUAAAGGGUGCGUAGGCGGAAGGUUAAGUCAGCGGUCAAAUGUCGGUGCUCAACACCGGCCUGCCGUUGAAACUGGUCUUCUUGAGUGAGCGAGA